rnacentral:lncRNA from 12 species
CUUGUGGGAUGAAAGCUGUGGUGCCAGCUGCCGGCUACUGUGAUGAGGGGAGGAAUACAACUAAAUCUGGACUACUUUUCUCACUGUGUUUUUCUCUAUCUUCUCCAUAUGACCUUUUAACCUUGGAUUAUGGACCUGAUUUGUGAAGAAAAAUCCAGUCCCAAGAGAGCAGGACCACUCCUCUGGCUCAGUAGAUGCUCCUAUGAAGCAAGUGCCAAGAGUCUGCUAUGGAAUGACA